CCUACGGGAGGCAGCAGUAGGGAAUCUUCCACAAUGGACGAAAGUCUGAUGGAGCAACGCCGCGUGAGUGAAGAAGGGUUUCGGCUCGUAAAGCCCUGUUGGUAGGGAAGAAAGAUAGAGGUAGUAACUUGCCUUUAUUUGACGGUAAUUACUUAGAAAGUCACGGCUAACUACGUGCCAGCAGCCGCGGUAAUACGUAGGUGGCAAGCGUUGUCCGGAUUUAUUGGGCGGAAAGCGAGUGCAGGCGGUUCAAUAAGUCUGAUGUGAAAGCCUUCGGCUCAACCGGAGAAUUGCAUCAGAAACUGUUGAACUUGAGUGCAGAAGAGGAGAGUGGAACUCCAUGUGUAGCGGUGGAAUGCGUAGAUAUAUGGAAGAACACCAGUGGCGAAGGCGGCUCUCUGGUCUGCAACUGACGCUGAGGCUCGAAAGCAUGGGUAGCGAACAGGAUUAGAUACCCGAGUAGUC
rnacentral:rRNA from 1 species